rnacentral:rRNA from 1 species
UACGAAGGGGGCUAGCGUUGCUCGGAAUGACUGGGCGUAAAGGGCGCGUAGGCGGCUUGCACCGUCAGAUGUGAAAUUCCUGGGCUUAACCUGGGGGCUGCAUUUGAUACGUGUGGGCUUGAGUGCGGAAGAGGGUCGUGGAAUUCCCAGUGUAGGAGGUGAAAUUCGUAGAUAUUGGGAAGAACACCGGUGGCGAAGGCGGCGACCUGGUCCGUGACUGACGCUGAGCGCGAAAGCGUGGGGAGCAAACAGG